UGUCCUCUCUCCUCCACUCCCUUCUUCCUCUCUCUGCAUCUUCUUCUUGUUUGUGCUUUUUCUUCUUUUCCUUGGCAUCCAUCCGUGAUUCGGCAGGUCUCACAGUCAGAGACAAAGCACAAUAUCUUGAGUUGAGCACAAAGAAACUACCUUUUAAAAACAUCAACUUGGAAGAAACCUGCAUCAUUAGCUACCUCCCUCCCUUCCUCGGUCUUUACAGAGCUCGGCAUUAUAUUCAACACAGCACUGCCUGUUGUCUGCAUGAUUCUAGCCACAAAAAUUGGGUGAAGGUGGCAACAUAUCCACUGUGUGUUCAGAUAGGUAGAGACCCCAAUUUUCAAGGGACACCGGCUUUACAGGAUCCUCUAGUAGCUGAGCUUUUAAGAUGUGUGCCCGCAAAAAUGAUAGGAUUUUCGUCAAUUCAGGAUGUCUUUCAUUUUCUUCUUGUGCCACUUUUUUCUGUCAUCUGAAUGAUUACUUCUCACGAUCAAGGGACUGUCAGCUGAUCAAUGAAGUGUGUAUGGAUCUGAUGGACAUAUGAGGAGAAAUGCUUCAGGAGUAAGAAAAGAUGUCUGCAGUGGAAGCGGAGGGUCAGGAUGAGCUACAGUCACUGAUACGUUCCCUUGGAUUUGGAAAUGAACUUAAGUGGUAAAUUAGUACACAUGACUAACAGAGUCAAUGUGAAAAGCACAGCCAUUGAAAAGAAAGAGAUUUUUAGCAUUGUAGUCAUCACAUGCCUUAAUGGAGUGUAUACUUUAAAUACAGAUUUGAAUCACUGCUCUUUUAUCCCUCUAAAUGUCAGUUUCAAAGAAGUCCCUGGGCAUUGUUGACUUCUUGUCCGUAAAGAAAACCCACCAAGAUUCACCAAGUACCUCACCUGCAGCCACAAGCAUACGUGUUUUAAAUGCCCAUGGGAUGUUGAACAAUUAGGCAGAGAACUGCACUGUGGUCUCUUCUCUUCGCUGCUCCCCUCCACCCCCCAUUUUUUUUUUUUUUUCUUUUAGAAAAUGUGAUACCUGAUCUCUGGAUCUAGCAGGGAUGAGGGUUUUUUUCUUUUUUGGUUUUGUUUUUUUUGUAUCUGUAUAAUACAAUGUCUGGCCUUCCCCCUGACCUGCUAGUGUAUUUUCGGUCUCAUCAGUAGUCAAGGAGAAGCCCUAGCGCAUCCGGUGCUGGGAGUCAGGUCUGAGACACAGGACAACAGAGAGAAGGGGCGGGUGAGAGGAUACUGGAAGAGAGGCUUGUCCCCAAGAUAUGGAAGGAAGUGAGAAAUGACAGGACUGCAAGCUUUGUAUGGAGGAGCCUGGCAGGGCGGGGGGGAGCGGCGAGGAGCGCAAAGUGGGUUCUCAGAAGCCCUAGAAGAGCUAAAGGUGAUUAGAGGGGGAUAUUGAUUCCUUAUUCUGCCAGCGAUUUAAGCAGGCAUGCAAGGAAUCCGCACCACGGUUGCAAAAGGAGACCCAUUGCCUCCUGUAACCAGACACUCGGGCUUUCCAGGAGCCCAGCGAGAGCUGGGAAGAAAGGGGGCAGUGUGGUCUAGGAAAAUUCAACUUGUCGCUGAUUUGUGCCUGAUGCUCGCUGUCCGUCAGCAGCCUCCCUUACAAUCUUUUUUUCCUCUCUCUCCCUUUUUUUUUUUUCUUGCCUUCUCCUUCUUCACUGAAGCCUAGGGGAGCCAGUAAAGAUUAAAUGUGCUUUCUCAAAGGCAGCCACUUCAUGCUGCUAUGUCGAAAGGGCCAUUAUUAUUAUUAUUAUUUUAAUAGUAAAAGAAGAAGGGAGAGAGGUUGAGAGAGAGAGAGAAGCUAGGUAGGAUGAUGACGGACUAGCUUUUCCGAGAGGAAAAGGGAAGGGAGAGAAAAAGCAGAGACCCUGAACGGAGGAUUGUGCCUGAGAAGAACCUACAGAGGCGGCACUGGGAGCCGAAAGCCCAGUUUCCAGGCAGAUGGGGGAAGCGCCGAUCUAGCAGUUCUCGGUCCUCUAUUGAAACACCUCGCCCAGGCGAGCGCCCUGCAGCUCACAUUUCCCCCCCGGCUCGGAUGGUGCUACGGGAGCUGCAGCCUGACUCCACUUCCAAUGGUCGUCUCCAUGUUCCUUUCAGCUGGUCCUAUAGUUCCCCUUCCUCAGGAAUGUCUUCCCAGUGAAAGAACACAGGCUGCAGAAACCCUGUCCCGAUGGAUGCUAAAGCCAACUGCAAAGUGGAAACAAAGAGCAACGCCAUCACCUGAAGACUUCUCUCCUGCCAAGCGACACACCCACACGCUGCAGUUUCAGCCAGUAGCGUCUCAGAACAAGAGGCAAGCUUUUCAAGAGACAGAAACCCUUAAGAAAGCUAUCUAGAUUUCGAAUGAGCGAGGACUUUCCCUUCCUCACGUGUACUCCUCUGUUUGUAUUUAAAUUCUGUGUGACGUUCAUUUUUUAAAAACUUUUCUUUUCCUAGCAUGACUAUGCUUAUUAAUACUCUAAUUUUUAAAAUAGAAAAUUGUUCAUGCCAGAGGUCGAUUGCAUGUUAGCCACACACAGAGUUUGGCCUUAAAAGACUGACUUAAAGAAUAUUGAGUUCUUUUGCAAUCACAGAGUUGUAGGAGGCAAUACAAAGGAUAAAAUGAUGGUGGGAACUCAGAAUGUGUCAUCGAAAUACAGUAUCAGGCAAACUUGGUUCUGUGAGACAUAGUCUCUGCCUCUAAGGAGUUUAAACCUAGUUAAACAGAGGCACAUAAACUUUUGAAAAGAGAAGUAACAGAUCAAGUCAAUUUAUAAGAGCAAAUGAAAGAUAUAAACAAGGAGCUCGGAGGAAGUCCCCUUAGGCGGGGCAAACUCGUCUGUCUAGGGAAGAAAGUUCCCAAAGGAAGAAAAUACAAAGUGAAUUUUAAAGAAUGUUAAAGAUUUAGAUAAAUGGGAAGGAAAAAGAAAAUAGAAUCCUUUCUUUGGAUGCAAUAUUGUAAGCAAAGUCAGAGAGGAAGGCAUCUACCUGGUGAUUUCAGGAAAUUAUGAAUACACAGAUCCAGUUGAUUAAAUUCCAGACUUCCAUUGCCAAUCUAUAUGUACAUAUAUGGUGAAGACUUUGCACACAUACUUCCCCUUGCCCACCUCAGGUGUAGACCAGAAUUAUAAUCAUAUUUCUUCCAUUAAAAUAAGUGAAUGUGAUUGACGAUAGUAUGAUGAUUUGUGAUUUUUCUGUUAGCCUAAUAACAGUGUAUAUUUAUUGAGUUCUCCCUACAUGUUAAGCAUUUUAUAUGGUAACUCUUUUAAGGAUUACAACAACCCUGCAAAAUAGGUAUUAUUUUGUAUUUCCAUUUUACAUAAAGAAAGCUGAGGCUUAAGUAACUUGGCAAACGGCCACAUACAAGGUUCACAAUCAGGACUGUGAUUUCAUAGCUCACGAUCUAAGGCACUAAGUCACAGUAUUGCAACCAAGUUUGUAAUUUUGCCACUUCUAUAUUCCUUGAUAUUUUUCUAUGGUAGACACAUAGCUAUUUUCUUUAAUCAUCUUCUCAAAAUUUUCAGUUUUCUGGUUGAACUAGCAUGGUGGAAUGUAUUUUCAUGACAGAAAUGGAAGAUACUGGGAAACAGAGUUUAUCAGCAUUUUAAGCUUUUUUUGGACCAGACUCUGAGGAGACUGUUAGCUUUGGUCAGCAUGAAAUCUCAACUUCUUGAGAACAAAAUAGGGGGUGGAGAGAGCUUAAAGGUCAUCUAUUGCAAUGUUCUUUCCUACAGAUGUGAUAAACCUGUAAAGAUAGAGCUACUUACAGAAGAUCGCACAUUUGAAUAUAACAGAACUGGAUCCAGAAAUCAUGCCCUCAGAGGCUUUUGAACUAUACCACCCUGCCUAAAUGAGGCAUGAGCUUGAAUUUCACCAAUGGAAACAUUCUGUCUGGGUGAUCAAGGAGCACCAUACCAAGUAGAUUGCUUCACUUUUGGCUACGUCUUUGGCUUUUGACUUCAAUGUGAAAGAUAGUUAUGGACUGACAUCUUUAGUUUCAAAAGCUGUCAAUGGUCCAGCCGCAAAGAACACACAGUAGCCCAAGUUAUGCAUGCAGUGUCUUCAAUGAUAUUCUUAAGUUACUUGGCGUUCUUCCUUCACCUAAACCAGUCAGAUCUUCUAGUGAGCAUUUUCUUAACCAAGUUUAUGCACAGUAUAUAUUCAUAAGAGUUUCUGCAGAAUGUUUAAAUGUGUCUGUUUUGAUAGUCUUUAUGGUUUUUUUAAAAUAUCAGUGGUUAUUUGCUAUUUUAAUUGUCAGUUAUCCAUAUAACUAACCCAAGAAUACUUCAGCCGUAAAAAACUAGAAUUAAGGAAAUCUUAGUCUUCUAUACUAGCCCCUUUGCCUUUAGUUGGCACUUAGUAAUAAUUAAUAAAGUGGUCUACUGGAGAAUACAGAGGUUCAAAACACAAUUUUGUCUUGAAGGAGUCAGUUGAACUGUGUCUACUUGAGAGCAAGCAUCUAGACAUUUGGAAGGACCUGAAUGUUUGACUGUUGUAAAUUUCCAUUUAGCUAUCCGGCUUUGUCACACUUAGACCUCCUGGUGGCUCAGGUCGACCUAUUUUCAAAAUGAUGAUCAUUGGCCAUAUCUCACACAGUGAUCAUUAAGUGAGUUCAUAAAUAAACAGGUUGUUUUCUUUUUUAAGCAUAGCCAAGCACAAAAUGUGACUCUGUUGACAUUUUAUGAGACUUUGUUAUAUGUCCCCUGAACCCCCAAUAAAACCAAUGUUGCAUCAACUGUGAA